rnacentral:misc_RNA from 1 species
CAUGGAAGUUGGUUACACCUAAAGGCAAAAUGUAAAAAUUUUGACUACGGGUACGAUCAGCGACUGGGGUGAAGUCGUAACAAGGUAGCCGUAGGGGAACCUGCGGCUGGAUCACCUCCUUUCUAAGGAAAUCGAAAAAUAUUAAAACAAUUAUUUUCGAUUUAAAAAAAACCGGUAAUGUGACCGUCCUCAUUUCUCUUCUUUUAAUGUCUCUGAGUAUGAAUCAAGGGGCCGGUAGCUCAGGUGGUUAGAGCGCACCCCUGAUAAGGGUGAGGUCGGAAGUUCGAGUCUUCCUCGGCCCACCAAUAUUAUGGGGGAUUAGCUCAGCUGGGAGAGCGCCUGAUUUGCAUUCAGGAGGUCAGCGGUUCGAUCCCGCUAUCCUCCACCAAAAUUGAGACAUUUAGCUUUUUUACAUUGUAAAUAUUAUUAUCAAUAUCUAUAUCCGAUUGUUUUCAGAUAUUUUUUUGAAAACAAUCAAAACAAAAAUUUAAUUUAUUACAGAAAAGUUUUUUUCUGUGCAUAAAUCAAGCGUUUAAGGGCGAUUGGCGGAUGCCUUGGCACUGUAAGACGAUGAAGGACGUGGUAUACUGCGAUAAGUUUCGGGGAGCUGUAUGCAGGCUUUGAUCCGAAAAUUU